CGGCGGCCUUAGCAUAGGGGAACACCCGGUCCCAUUUCGAACCCGGAAGUUAAGCCCUAUAGCGUCGAUGGUACUGCAAGGGGGACCUUGUGGGAGAGUAGAUCGCCGCCGGACU
rnacentral:rRNA from 1 species